rnacentral:lncRNA from 1 species
AUUUAAACUAUGGGAUUAUGUAUACAUAAUUGAAAUAAAAAAUUGAUAAACAAAGUCAUCUUCACCUUCUUAUGUCCAAUCCAUUUCACAGUUGUACAGCAAGAUUAAGCAACCAAUAAUUUCAUUCAGCGAAUAUUUCCACACGUUGAGGAAAGAUAAAUAAGGUAGACAACUAGUUGGUCUAGUGGUAAGAGCUUGGAAUUAAGGGGUUUAUUCCUCCUGUAGUUUCAGAUUCGAGCCCUAUGGUUGCUAAUAUGAUGGCUAUUGAAGGCUUACAUGGUCGUUAACUUCA